UACGGGGGGGGCAAGCGUUGUUCGGAAUUACUGGGCGUAAAGGGCGCGUAGGCGGCCUUCUAAGUCAGACGUGAAAUCCCUCGGCUCAACCGGGGAACUGCGUCUGAUACUGGAUGGCUUGAGUUUGGGAGAGGGACGCGGAAUUCCAGGUGUAGCGGUGAAAUGCGUAGAUAUCUGGAGGAACACCGGUGGCGAAGGCGGCGUCCUGGACCAAUACUGACACUGAGUGAGCGAAAGCCAGGGGAGCAAACGGG
rnacentral:rRNA from 1 species